UACGGAGGGGGUUAGCGUUGUUCGGAAUUACUGGGCGUAAAGCGCGCGUAGGCGGAUUAGUCAGUCAGAGGUGAAAUCCCAGGGCUCAACCCUGGAACUGCCUUUGAUACUGCUAGUCUUGAGUUCGAGAGAGGUGAGUGGAAUUCCGAGUGUAGGAGGUGAAAUUCGUAGAUAUUCGGAGGAACACCAGUGGCGAAGGCGGCUCACUGGCUCGAUACUGACGCUGAGGUGCGAAAGCGUGGGGAGCAAACAGGAUUAGAUACCCCCGUAGUCC
rnacentral:rRNA from 1 species